UACGUAGGGCGCAAGCGUUGUCCGGAAUUAUUGGGCGUAAAGAGCUCGUAGGCGGUUUGUCGCGUCUGUCGUGAAAGCCCACGGCUUAACUGUGGGUCUGCGGUGGAUACGGGCAGACUAGAGGCAGGUAGGGGAGAAUGGAAUUCCCGGUGUAGCGGUGAAAUGCGCAGAUAUCAGGAGGAACACCGGUGGCGAAGGCGGAUCUCUGGGCCAUUACUGACGCUGAGGAGCGAAAGCGUGGGGAGCGAACAGG
rnacentral:rRNA from 1 species